rnacentral:lncRNA from 1 species
GCCAGUGAAAAACGGCCUUAUUUCUCUGCAUCAUUGCAGGAAAUGAGCAGAAGAGUGCAAGAGAACUUGAUGGCUUUCAGUAAGGCUGAUGGAGUAAGACUGCUGGAGCUGCCGUGUCACAGCUUGCACCCUCAUCUAAGAGUUUACCCAUUGAUAAAACUUAGAAGAAAAGAGAAGUCAUCCUUCUGGAAAGACCAGCAAUAUUGUAUAAUCACUGCCUCUAUUGAAGAUACAUCAAUAUGAACAGUGGAUAGUGAUAAGCCCUCUUCCUUAGCACUGACUGGGGAGGUGGCAGCCAUCUCCUCCUCAGCAUCAUGGCCACCCUCAGACCCCUCACAAAGCCCAAGAUAAUUAAAAAGAGGACUAGGAAGUUCAUCUGGCACCAGUCAGACCUAUAUGUCAAAAUUAAACGUAAUUGGUGGAAACACAGAGGCAUUGACAAUAGGGUGCACAGAAGAUACAAGGGCCAGAUCUUGAUGCCCAACACUGGUUACAAGAGCAUCA